UUGCAUCUCUGCUUCUUGAUUCUCUUCUUGUGGACUUAAAAAUGGUUUAGUUGGUAUGACCAGUAGCUCAACGUCUCCUUCAAGCAUUUCAAUGACUUGGUUCAUUGAGGGACGGUCGCCAGGCUUCAGUUGUAUACACCACAAUGCCACUAUUAUCAUCUUCUUUAACAACUUGGUCUCUUCUGCAGUAGAAUCUUCCAUUUCAAUCUCCUUCCCUGUAUUUAUUUGAUCAUAAAUCCAAGAGGGAAAAUAGAUCUGGCUCAAUUGCUCCACUGAUGGACUUAUAUUUUUCCUUCGCCCCGCCAUUUCCAUGAGCAACAUUCCAAAACUAUAGACGUCUGCUUUAUAAGAAAUACCUCCAAUGUUUUUGUAGAACAACUCAGGGGCCAUGUAACCUAUCGUUCCCCUGGCUGCAGUCAGAUUGACGAUACUAUCAUCCGUAGCAUACAAUUUUGCAAGCCCAAAAUCAGAAAUUUUUGGAUUAAAGUCCUUGUCUAGAAGAAUGUUGUGAGGCUUAAUAUCAAAAUGCAAGAUUCGCAUAUCACAUCCUCGGUGUAAAUAGUCAAUUCCAGCAGCCACUUUGCAAGAAAUCUCAUACAUUUUUUCACAACUCAAGGAGAUAUGCUCCUCCUCUCCUUCACGAGGAAAAAUGUACUUCUCAAGAGAUCCAUUAGGCAUGAACUCAUAGAUUAAAGCACGUUUUGAACCCUCAAAACAAAAACCAAUCAUUUGCACAACAUUUACAUGAUGAAUCCUUCCAAUUGUAGCAACUUCAUUUAUGAAUUCUUGCCCUGUAGCCUUCGACUUGCCCAUAAUCUUCACGGCAACAACUAGGCCACUACGCAGCUUUCCUUUAUACACAGUACCAAAUCCUCCUUCACCCAAUUUGUCUUUGAAGCCAUUAGUUAUCUUUUUUAUAUCAGAGAAAUCGUAUCUUAUGGGCAUGAGAACGUUUUUCUGACCUUGUAAGAAAUCCUCAAUGCUGUCAUAUAUUGACCAAUGCCUUCUCCUCAUCUUGAAGAGUAACAAUGCUAGGAGAAAUGGGAUUCCACACAAAGCUCUUAUACCAAUAAACUUGCCUAUAUUUGCAAACAAAAAGUAAUGAAUGAGGUCCUUCAUUGAAGAAAUUCCACUAGGAUGAACUUGCACAAGAAAAUUAAUUAGGUGCACAGAGUUGAAGUUAAAUUAAUUAGGUGCACAAGUUAUGAUUACAGAAUAUAGAUUCCUCACAGAGUUAAAGUAUCAAUUAAUGAUUUAAAAAUCACUAAAAUUGAGUCACUAACAUAUGUCUUCCAAGCAAGGGCAUAUCUAGGAUUCAAACUUUGGAGAGGGGCACCAAGCAAAUUUUCGGAAAACACCUAUAUAUUUCUAAAUUUUGUGGGGGCAUUUCUAUAAUAUUGCAAAAUUUAGAAUGAAAUAGGGGGGACACGUGUCUCCAUGCCUAUUCCUAGAUCCGCUCUUGCUUCCAAGCCGAAGUUAAUAAUAUGCAGUUAAAAAUCAACAGAAAACAGAAUACUUCAAUAUGCAAAUUUUGUAGAGGUCUGCAACCCUAAUGUUAGGGAGUUGGAUCAUUGAAACUUCUUAGUAAGAUUCUGAGUCAUCAAUUUUCGUUACACUAGAAAAUGAAUGCAUAAGCCGCAGGAGUUGGGGAGGGGAAACUUACCAGUGAAUACAAGUAUAAAUGGAAUCCGAUCUGUGGUGGUCAGAAAAAAAAGAGUGAGUUAGAUAAAGACGCCAAUCAUAUAUCAUCAUGUCCACAACAAAGGCAUAAAUUUGAACUAGUUACAAUCUCAGUGAAGCAGUUUAUGUAUAUAUAUGUUUAUGUAUAAACUGGGUCAUGUUAUUUACAAAUGUAAACCACAAGAAAACUGAAUACACUCACCAACAAAAUACGCAGCAAUGUCUCUCAAGAUUUUGAGCAGGCCUGCAAAAUAAAUGUACAUACACAAUAUCAGUUGCAGAAUCGGUUGAUGCAAGAUUAAAUUACUUUAUAAAUAAGAACUAGAAGAUCCCCCUUAAAAAAAUAGAGUACUUCCAGAAUCCUGAAUUCUGGGGAGCUUACAAACAAAAUUUAAAAACGAGUGACUUGAUAUAAAUAAGAAUAAAUGAUAAGAUCUAAGAAUAGAGGAUGGAUCUCAUGAAAAAUGAUAACGGAGGAUAAUUGCUGCUCAUCAUUAGGUGCACACUUACGUUUGGGUAAAGAUAAAAUUGCUGAGAAGGGCUGGCACUUGUAACCGUAAGCAUUGUUUUCAAAAUUAAGAACACAAUCAUAGUCGCUGCGACAUGAACUGUAGCAGAAGAUUUCUCUCCACGAAACAUCGAAUCCAUAAGCCAACACCUCACUGCGAAUGUCUUCAUUAUCUGCCUUGCUGAUUAUAGUAAUAUUAAUUAUAUUAUCAGUACUAAAUGUAACAUUGGUCCGCCAAUCUGGGGACACCAAAGCUGCAUCGCGUAUCUUACAACCAUCUACUACAUCCCGUAAUAUUAGAGGGCCAGCAACAACAUAAGAGUAUUGACUCGGACAGUAAUUUUUGCCAGAAAAAGAUUUUGUGUCAUUUUUACCACAACCGGAAAAGGCAUCAGAAGUUGUAGCAUCAAUAUACCGAGAAUCUGAGGUUAUAGGAGCAGGACAAUUCAUAAAUAUUAUGGGCGUGUUCUGAGCUAGCCCAUCAUCAUACCCAUCGAAAAGUCUAAAAGAAGUUUGAUUUCCACGGAGCCGCACUGUCAAGUUCUGGUAAUUGAUGUCUGCAACCUGGUACUUGUAUGUUUUAUCAUCAUAAGAAGAGGUCACAUAUAUGAUGGUCCGAUUGUCCUGGCAGUGGAGUUGGCGGCUGAGGAGACCAUGCUGAUCACAGUUAUGAAGAGGAUCACCUUGCAAGUAGAAAGGGCAGCUUAUGUUAAGGAUAUCGCCGCAAGAAAAAGGAUCAUCAUGGCUGCUGCUUGAAAAGGUAAAGAAAGUGAGUGAUACUAAUAGAAUGAACUGGUGUGAAUAUGUAAAUUUGUGGAAACCAGCACAAAAAUAUUCAAGGAAACAUGUUCUUGCUCCCAUGAUCCACAGCUCAUCCAAAAUAACUCCUCAGAUUUCCGGGUUUUUAGUAAACUUUCUCUUUGAUGAGUUGUAAUAUAAUCCUAACUCCUAAGGUAGAACACAAACUUUCAAGUAAUUUGAUCAUAAUUAUUAUUUUUAAAGAAUUUUUAUAUAUAAUAUACAAAAAUUAUUUUAAUUUUAGAAAAAUAUUUUUAUUAAUUGAAUUUUAAUCUGGUCUUUGGAAAAAAAAAUCCACGCUCGUUAUAUUAGAUAUAAAUAUUGAUGACAUUGUGGUGCCCCGUUAUAUUUGAACAUAGUUGGAUGUUUCGGUUAUUGUUUUGAAGAUAUAGAAAAUCUUAAUAUAGUAUUAUAAGGAUAUAGCAUACUCCCUCGGUCCCAAAUUAACGGUUCUGUUUGACUUUUUGGUGGUCAAUUUGACCCAACUUUAAUUGUAAAUUAAAAAUUAUUCUUUUACAAUUUUACAAAACUGAAAAAUACAUUUUAAAAUAAAUUUGAUAAUCUUUUCAGUAAUAUAUUUUUCAUAAUUUUAUUUAAUUAUUUAAUAUACAUAUUUUUCAGUCAAAAUCAAGUCGAAUUAAUCACAAAAAAAAUCAAACAAAACAGUUAAUUUGGGACGGAAGAAGUAUAACAAACCACUAACCAUGACUUUUCACCCUACAAAUAUCGCGGAAACCUUCCACUUGAAAGAGUCAAGUCAAGGUGCUAAUUGGUGAAGGGUAAUCAUCAACUUAUAUACUUAAUUAGCUGCCACUAAUAAAUUUUUUAUAAUUUUUCCUUUAGAAACAUCCUAUUCAAAGUCAAACCAUAUUGAUUAAGAAUAUUAUGAUUUUUUCUUUUUAGUUAACAUUUUCCGUAAACAAACUGAUAUAGCUUUUUUUUUACAAACAAAAGAUUUUAUUAAUACGAAUCGCAAAUCCAGCCGGGACAAACCCCCGAACUGUCAACUACAAUCUGAUUGUGAAACAAAGAACGAACUAAACAAAUAGUCGUUUUGUUUUCAGAUCGCUUAACAAAUAGAAUAUUCAUAUUCUUUGAUCUAAAAAGUAUUACAAUGAUAUUUCGAGCAAUCCAACCUACAUCAGUUAUGAAACUAGUAGUCUCGCAAUUGACCUUCACGUAAGCAUCAUCUGUAGCCCAAUGUUCAGAACUAUCAGUCAAAUCAACUGAUCCUGGAGCACUAAACGUCUCCAAAACAUGAACAAUUAUUUGUUGUGAGAGGUGAGCUCUUGCGGUAUCUACCAUCGUUCCGAAAUCGAUGCGAGUCUUACUGAUCUCCCAAAAUACCGUAUAAAUCCUUUUCAGAUUGAUAAUCGAACGACACAUCAAGACACAUAAAAAUACAAAAAACAUAACACACGACAUCCCAAAAAGAUGGGCACACACUAACAUCCCAAAACGAUGGGCACACAACCUUGAUAACAAGGAACUCAAACAAGAUUAAAUCUUGGUUUUAUUGAAACUAAGUACAAUAGUAGAGGGGAUGAGAGAGCGAAGGGGUUAAUUGAUGAGAAGAUGAACAUCUGGGAGGCGGAGAAGUGACGGAUGAAACCCUAACAUGAGAGUCGACUCUCAAAACGAGAGAGAAAAGAAAACCCUAAAAUCUACUCCCUCCGUCCCGGCCAUUUCUUUACGUUUGGUUUGGGCACGGAGGUUAAGAAAUAUGUAUAAAGUAGUGGAAAAGAGAAAGAAAAGUGGGUGAAGUGGCGGGACCCAUCAAUUUUUAAUGUAUAAAAGAGAGAUAGUGGAGUAAAAGUAGUGUGAAAAGGGAGUAAAAGUAGUGUGAAAAGGAAGAAAAAGUUAGGAAGUGGUGGAACCCAUUUACUAUUUUUGGUAAGUUUUGAAAUGUAAAUAAUUGGAUGGGACAUCCAAAAAGGAAACUGUAAAGAAUCUGGUGGGACGGAGGGAGUAACAUUUAUUAGGAAGAAGUCUUCCGUGCUUACAAACUGAUAUAGCUCAACUCAAUACAUAGAUAUCUCAUGGUUAAAAUCGGAUUGGACAGUUUACAGAGAAUUAAUCACACCAAAUCACCAACCAUAAAUCUAGAAAAUAAUUAAGUUGAUGGUAAAUCUUCUUUCUCAUAUUCACAAAUUUAAAAAUGUUACUUGAUUUCUUUACUAAAAACUCAAUAUGAAUCUAUACUUCGAUAUUUUAGAAUUUACUCUUAACUCAAGUCAAGACUAUUUUAUAAAUAGUGAAUGACAAAUCAGUAAAAAUAUUGUAAUUUGUUAAAAGAUCUGAUUAAUUAAUCAAAAUUUAGACAAAAGCUAAGAAAUCUUGAAAAUAGAAGUAUGAAGAAGUCCUACUCACGUGACCUUUAUAUAUAAUCUAUGUAAUUUUUGUGAUAAAUCACCAUGUCUUUUGAAUUAUUCGAAGUACAGUGUACUUUCACAAGAAAUUGUAUAAACUCUACGAACCCAUAAUUAUGAGUAGGAUUAAAUACCUUGUAAUUAUUUAUGUUUAAUAUGAAAUACACUUAGGUUGUGUUCACUUGGAGUGAAUGAAAUGAGAGGAGAAUGAAAUGAAUUUUGUAGUCUAAAAUGGUGUUGAUCAAAGAAAAUGUGUAUAAUUUUCAUUCCUUCAAUCAUUCCAAACUUGCUACUCCCUCCGUCCCUCCCAUUUCUUAUCAAAUGGGUUGGGCACGGAGGUUAAGAAAUAUGUAUAAAAUAGUGAAAAAGAGAAAGAAAAGUGAGUGUAGUGGUGGGACCCAUUGAUUUUUAAUGUAUAAAAAGGAGAUAGUGGAGUAAAAGUAGUGUGAAAAGGAAAGAGAAGUGGAAAAGUGGUGGGAUCCAUUGACUAUUUUUGGUAAGUUUUGAAAUGUAAAGAAUUGGAUGGAACAUCCCAAAAAAGAAAGUGUAAAGAAAUGGUUGGGACGGAGGGAGUAUUUUAACUAUAACUCUAACCCACAUAUUGGAAGGAAUGCUCAUUCCAUUUGAACAUCAUAUUUCUUCACAAUCUUUCUCACUGAAAAAUUAACUACAUUCAUAUUUUGUCACCAUUACCUCAUACUUUCUUCUUUCUCCUUAAAACUUUUAUAUCAUUUUUCAUUUCAUUCUUCCCUCAUUCCAUUCUGAACACAGUCUUAUAGUUUCUAUUUCCGUAUAUCCCGACCAGUGGUCGAAAAUUGUUAACCAAAUCAGUGGUGUUUGUAGUGCACAUUCAGUUCAAUGAAGGUGAUUUACUCCUCAAUGAAUUAGCGUGAAACGACAACAUACACAUGCACCGUGCAACAAAAUUUAUGGUCUGUUGAAGAAGAUAGAAAAGUUUGAAGAUGAGAUUAAAGCAAGAAAGAGGAAGGAGCAAAAGCUUGUUAAUAAUUUGCUUGGUGAAUGUCGCAGCUGUUCUUGUUAUGAGUUGGGCACUAGCAAUUAAAAAUGGCUAUGUGCUAUUACACUUGUUAUGAUAGAGCUAAUUUUAAUCUAAUGCAUUUAGUUUUAAUUAAAUGAAUAUGAUGUUAAUGCAGUAUUUUGUGAUGCAUUUUUGUAUGCUUGUUAAUUGUUAUGUAGUGAAUUUUGAGAUUUAUUAAAUAUUAUGUACAAAUUUUAUUAAAUAUUAGUAUUAAAUAAAUUAUUAAAAUUAUAAAUAAAUAAAAGGGUUAUAGAAUAUGAUUUAAGAGUGGACCUAAACAUCCUUCUUCUCGUAAUCAAAAAAAAAGGCAAAGAAAAGUCACCGGCGGAUUGAGAAGCCUGUUAAAUAAAUAAAGUAAAUCCCAAAGAAGCAAAUGCAGAAAGCAUGGAAAAAAUGAAGUUGCUUACAUCAAGUCAAUGGACAAUGGUGGUAGUCGUAGUAACGCUGUUGACGGCAGUUGAAGGUGCAGGGAAGAAGAAUUGCAGUGUGAGUCGCUGCGGCGAUGGAGGGCCGGAAAUUCACUUUCCGUUUUGGCUCAAACAAAAUAACACUGCUCCUGCAGAUGAUUGUGCCUACCUGCCUGAAUUCCAACUUUUUUGCGGUCCCGGAAGAGGUCAAUAUCAAUCACACAAGGACUCGACCUUAGUGAAGUUUCAACACAUAGUGAACACAUCAAUCAAGGGACUCGAUCUCGCUUUUAAGUACGAGGCAAUUGUUAGUUACAUCGAUUAUACAAACCGAGCUUUGCUUAUGCAUAUCCCACUUCUUGUAGAUAUAGUGCCCAUUUUCUCAUCUAUUUCCUCCCAUCUUCCUUUCAAACCAAAUACUUUUAAUGAUAUAUCUGUUUGUUACCAGACUUUGGAUACUAGAAAUACUAUUUAUGAGCUCUUCAACCUUGACCCCUUUAGAUCAUGUUAUUAUGGUUAUAGCAGGGUCGACCACUAUUACACUUUUUUCAAUUGUUCCUCUUCAUCUCCGGUCAUUGAGCAUAAUGGAAAUAUCAUCAUCAAUUCUCUCAGCACCAAAGAUUUCAAGGUUUAUGCUUAUUCUUCAUCUUAUCCCGCAAUCUAUAUGCUGGACCGUAUAAGAUCUUGCACUAAGAUGUACGAUAUUUCAACUAGGCUCAAGCAAUCUUCACAGUCCUGUGCCUGCGGGUCCCAAUUUUACUCGGAGAAUAUAUUGAGUUGGUCCCAGAAUGUAGGUGGUGGAAAAUGUGAAGCUGCACGAGAGAGUUGUAAUAUAUAUGAUGAUGACAGUAAUAGUUACACAGAUUUUCCAUACUCUCAACCAUCCACCAGAGGUUCAGGUACUAUUCUAAUUCUUUAUGUUUCCGUUGAUUCUUACUUGGUGUCUUCACGUUUAGUUGAUCAAUCAUAUCUCUUAUUCUAAUUCUUUGUGUUUCCAUAUAUUCUAAUUCUAAUUCAAACUUGCACAUUUUGCAGGUCGUGCAAUUGCCAAACUACUUGUAGCUGGUGAGUGUUGAUCAUUAAAUAUAAUAAAUACUGCUUUGUUUUUUUAAGUGUUUUGGGUUUCUGAGUGAUUCAUGUGCUUGUGCAUUCCAAUUUGACUUGAUCUCUUCCCAAAUGUGUAUGCAGUUUUAUUGCCAUGUAUCUUCUUGGUUGUUCUUGGCCUUAUUUUCCGGUAUAACUUUGUCCGAUUAAAUAAACAAAGGGAGGAAGAUGAGUUGAAGAUUAAAAUGUUUAUGGAGAACUAUAAAGCGCUCAAGCCAACAAGAUACUCCUACAGUGACAUCAAAAAGAUCACAAAUACGUUCAAGCAUAAAUUAGGCCAAGGAGGUUAUGGAUCUGUAUUCAAGGGACAGAUUUCAGCUGAUAUUCCAGUCGCGGUGAAGGUUCUUCAUAUUGAUUCCAAAGCAAAUGGUGAUGACUUCAUCAACGAGGUUGGUACUAUAGGUAAAAUCCACCAUGUCAAUGUGGUUCGACUGCUCGGGUAUUGUGCUGAUGGAUGUAAUCGAGCUCUAGUUUAUGAGUUUCAACCUAAUCAUUCACUAGAAAAGUUCGUUUAUAGAAGAGAGAAACCACAGAAUUUCAUUGGUUGGAAGAAAAUGCAAAAAAUUGCUCGAGGUAUAGCCAAGGGGAUGGAAUAUCUGUAGAAAAUAUGCAGAAUCAUGUUGUUGGUAUAGAAUAGCUUUUUCAUAUAUCAAUCUAUUGAAGGGAGGCUCCUAUUUAUACACAAACAAUCUAGAGAAAUCAGGAGCUAAUUACACAAAUUCAGCCUAAAGAAAUAUUCUGUUCCUUUAAUUAUGGAACAAAUAUGGCUAUUUCCUACACUCCCCCUCAAGUUGAGCAGUCGGUGCUCCAAUGCCCAACUUGCGCAAAGUCUCUUCGAAGGCUUUAGUAUUGACCGCUUUUGUCAGGAUAUCAGCUAAUUGAUCCUUUGAUCGAACAAACGGAAGUUUAAUUGUCUUAUCUUCCAAUCUGUCCUUGAUGAAAUGUCGGUCUAUUUCAACAUGCUUCGUUCUGUCAUGCUGGACCGGAUUUUCUGAGAUUUUUAUAGCUGCCUUAUUGUCACAAAACAACUUACAUGCUGUUUUCUGUGGAAAACCAAGCUCAUUCAUGAGUUUCUGAAUCCAUAGGAUUUCAGUUAUUCCUUUUGCUAUUCCUCUGAAUUCUGCCUCUGCACUUGACAAGGCCACAACCUUUUGUUUUUUACUUCUCCAGGUGACCAAGUUACCACCUACUAGAGUAAAGUACCCAGAAGUAGAUUUCCUGCCGUCACGAUCUCCUGCCCAGUCUGCAUCUGUGUAGGCAAUUAGAUCCAGAUGAUCAUUUUUGGCGAAGUAAAUUCCCGUGCUACUUGUACCCUUUAAGUACCUCAAAAUUCUCAUUAAUGCUGUCAUGUGUUGUAUUUGUGGGAGAUGCAUGAACCUGCUCACCACUCCUACAGCGUAAGCUAUGUCAGGUCUUGUGUGAGCUAAGUAAAUGAGUUUUCCCACAAUCUUCUGAUAUUGCUCUCUUUUAGCCAGUUUUGCUCCUUCAUGAAUUUGAAGACCAUGAUUAGCAACGAUCGGUGUCUCAGCUGGUUUACAGUCUAGCAUUCCUGUUUCUGUUAAAAGAUCAAGGAUAUAUUUUUCCUGGUGAAUGAAGAUUCCUUGUUUUGACCUCAGAACUUCUAUGCCAAGAAAGUACUUGAGAAUCCCCAAAUCUUUCAUCUCAAAUUCUUGAAACAGUUUUGCCUUUAAGUCAGUGAUCUCUUUCUCGUCAUUUCCGGUGAUAAUCAUAUCAUCCACAUAAAUUAUCAAGCAAGUGAUUUUAUCUCUAACCCUCUUCAAGAACAGAGUGUGAUCUGAGUUGCUUUGCUUGUACCCAAACUUCUUCAUAGCUUUUGUGAAUCUUCCGAACCAUGCCCUAGGAGACUGUUUUAGGCCAUAAAGUGCUUUUAUCAGUUUGCACCCUUCUUCAUCUCCAAAUUCCUGAGAAUACCCUGGUGGUGCCUCCAUAUAUAUUUCUUCCUCAAUACUCCCGUGAAGAAAGGCAUUUUUUACAUCAAAUUGAUAUAUAGGCCACUCCUUGUUUGCUGCUAUUGAGAGUAAGACCCGUAUUGUAUCAAUCUUGGCUACAGGAGAGAAAGUCUCAGAGUAGUCAAUUCCAUAUGUCUGGGUAUAUCCUUUAGCCACUAGUCGUGCCUUGUAUCUCUCAAUAGUUCCAUCUGCUCGGUAUUUGAUAGAGAAUACCCAUCUGCAACCCACCUUUUUCUUCCCUUUUGGUAGGAUGCAUUUUUCCCAUGUUUUGUUUUUUUGUAGAGCUGAAUACUCAUCCUCCAUAGCUUGUUUCCACUUUUCAUCUCCAAGAGCUUCCUCCACUGUUUUGGGAAUGUCAGUGGAGUAUAAAGAAGCGGUAAAAGCCAUGGCUGUGCUGGACAAGUUCUCAUCGCUGAUUCUCUCUACAGGAUAUUUAGACCGUUGGGCCUCAUACUCUGGAUCAUACCUUCUCGGUGGAACUCCUCUUGUACUUCUCGGAGGUAACUGAUACCUGUUUGGAACACUACCACUAGGAAUAGUAUUAGUUUUAGUAAUAAUAUCAGUUUCAGGGUUCUCAGAGCCGACCUCUGCUGAGGAGAGAUCAUCAGAAGGAUGCUCAUCAGACGGAACUGGAAUGGUCGGAACUGGAGUGGAUAGUAGAGGAGAUACUGAUGUUUCAGGAGCAACAUCGGUGGUAUUGCCUACUUGUGUUGUAGGAUCUGGAUUCAUCACUUCCGGAUAUGUUAGCCAGCUAAGGUCAUCACUCAAACUCUCCCCCUGAGGACUAAGCUGGGUAUAGUAGUAAGACUGUUCAAAGAACUCACAGUCUAAAGUAGUGUAGAUUUUGUCCUGGAUAGGGUCAUAACAUCGAUACCCCUUUUGAUUAACCCCAUACCCAAGAAAGACACAUUUAACAGCUCUGGGUUCUAGUUUGGUGCGUACUCUUUUUUGAAGAUGAACAUAGACAAUACAUCCAAAGACUCGAGGAGGUAAGGAAUGUGAGGAUGGAAUUGAGACAUGUGUCUCAAGAAUAUCGAGAGGUGUAUCGUAAUUGAGGGGUUUUGUGGGAAGGCGGUUAGUGAGAUAGGUAGCAGUAGCAAUAGCUUCGGGCCAGAAGUGGACAGGAACAUGAGAUUCGAUCAUAAGGGCUCGGGUGAUUUCGAGAAGAGUUCUGUUUUUUCGCUCAGCUAUACCAUUCUGUUGAGGUGUGUAAGGGCAGGUAGUUUGGUGGAGGAGACCAUGGUCAGUAAUAAAUUGUUUCAUGUUCAAGGUAACGUAUUCCCCCCCAUUGUCAGAUCGUAAAAUUUUUGGUUGAGCUCUAAACUGAGUGCAAAUCAUGUGGUAGAAUUUAACAAAGACAUCAAACAUUUCAGACUUGUGUUUUAAAAAAUACACCCAACUCAUACGAGUACAAUCAUCCACAAAUAAAACAAAAUAUGAAAAAUUAUGAAAGGUAAAAUCUGGAGCUGGUCCCCAUACAUCCGAAUGAAUCAAGGCAAAUGGUUGAGUACUAUGAGUCACACUAGGAUAAUAUGAGUGCUUAUGGCUUUUAGCUAAAACACAUGCUUCACAAUUCAAAUCUACGGCAAUAUUCUUUAAAGAGGGAAAUAAUCGUUUGAGAUAACCUAUGGAGGGGUGACCUAGCCGACGGUGCCACAUCCAGAGUUGAUGUUCUGGUGAUCCAUGAACAAGCAAAGCGUUACCGUUUUGAGUCACUUCAUUCACAUAGUAUAAUCCUCCUCGUUCAGUACCAUUCCCAAUGAUCCUUCCCGUCUGAGCAUCCUGCACAACACAACCAGAUGAUGUCAUGAGAACAGUACAGUUAAGUUCUCUAGUUAACUGGCUAACAGAUAAAAGCUUAUGAGUAAGAUUAGGAAUUAAGAGGCAGUUCUGUAAAUGGAUAUUAGAGGUAACAUCCACAGUUCCGGCCUGGGUAAUGGGUAUAUAUUCUCCGUUUGCAGUUUGGAUUUGGGUACGAUGAGUGUUGCUGGAAGACACAAUAUCAGAAGAAUCAUAUGUCAUUGUGUCGGUGGCCCCACAAUCAAAAAUCCAUGGAUUGGAUAUUUGGUUGCACAAGAGGCCCACAGAAAUUUGAUUGCCGAUGACUUUACUUUCACGGACUGUACCUGUUGCUUGAUCUGAAUGUAGCGCUGUUGUGAGGGGAAUGUUGUUGUUACCAUCUGGGCCACCUACAGCUAGGUUGGCCUUGCCGUCGGUCUUCUUCUUCUGCUUCAGGUCGUCCCACCAUUCUGGAUACCCAAUGAUUUUGAAACAUCCCUCCUUGGUGUGUUUCGUACCACCACAAUGGCUGCACUUGAGCUGGGUUUUAUCCUCUCGUCGGAAUGACGAGGAUUCUGACCUGCGUUUCACGAGGAGCCCACUACCAAUCUCUGAUGGUUCUCGUCCCAAUGACGAGUCGCUGGCCAUUAUGCCGCGACGUGCAAUCUCCCGUCGUAUAGACGCGUAGGCUGCGUCUAGGGUGGGUAGUGGAUCUUGAUACAAUAUAUCCCUCUUUUCUUUGUCUAGAGUAUCACUCACUCCGGCCAGAAAUUGGUACAAUCUUUGUCUUUGUAUGAAGGAAUUAAAUGAAGUAAUGUCCUCUGCACACUUCAUGGGGUUGGGCAUUCUCCUGUCUAUUUCCUUCCACAUUCCACAGAGUGUUUAGUUUACUGAAAUAAACUUCUAUAGUGUCCUUUCCUUGUCUCAUAGUUGCUGCCUUUGAGCUUAGAUCAUAGAUCUGGAGUUCGUCUCUCCCACUGCUAAGGAGAGUUUCAAUUCCCUUCCAUAGUUCUCGGGCAGUCUUGUAAUCCAGAAAUUGGUUCACAAGAUCUCCAUCAAUGUUUUCAAUGAUCCAAGACAAGACGGUUGAGUCCUUUUGAGCCCACUGUUGGUACUCGGGGUCAUUUUGUGGAACGGGAUUGGCUGUGAUAUGGUUGAGCCUUCCUCGACCACCAAUAGCAAUAUGCAUUAAUUUGCACCAUUUGGUGUAAUUAGUGAAAUUCAGUUUCUCGGCAACACGUACCGUUUGUGGUAUUCCGGUUUCUGGGAGGUUUGAAGUUUUGUGUAGUUUCUGAAAUAAUUGGAACAUUUGUUCCAUUUGUUCCAUAGAGACUAAUUGUGUUUCGGGUGAUUGGGUUGUGUUUUCUGAUUGAUCAGACAUUGUGGGUAAGAAUAUAGUAGAUGAUGAGAACCAGAAAACAAUCCUGAAUCCCAAUCGAACCUUAGGGCUCUGAUGCCAUGUAGAAAAUAUGCAGAAUCAUGUUGUUGGUAUAGAAUAGCUUUUUCAUAUAUCAAUCUAUUGAAGGGAGGCUCCUAUUUAUACACAAACAAUCUAGAGAAAUCAGGAGCUAAUUACACAAAUUCAGCCUNGGGCAUUCUCCUGUCUAUUUCCUUCCACAUUCCACAGAGUGUUUAGUUUACUGAAAUAAACUUCUAUAGUGUCCUUUCCUUGUCUCAUNAGUUGGCCUUGCCGUCGGUCUUCUUCUUCUGCUUCAGGUCGUCCCACCAUUCUGGAUACCCAAUGAUUUUGAAACAUCCCUCCUUGGUGUGUUUCGUACCACCACAAUGGCUGCACUUGAGCUGGGUUUUAUCCUCUCGUCGGAAUGACGAGGAUUCUGACCUGCGUUUCACGAGGAGCCCACUACCAAUCUCUGAUGGUUCUCGUCCCAAUGACGAGUCGCUGGCCAUUAUGCCGCGACGUGCAAUCUCCCGUCGUAUAGACGCGUAGGCUGCGUCUAGGGUGGGUAGUGGAUCUUGAUACAAUAUAUCCCUCUUUUCUUUGUCUAGAGUAUCACUCACUCCGGCCAGAAAUUGGUACAAUCUUUGUCUUUGUAUGAAGGAAUUAAAUGAAGUAAUGUCCUCUGCACACUUCAUGGGGUUGGGCAUUCUCCUGUCUAUUUCCUUCCACAUUCCACAGAGUGUUUAGUUUACUGAAAUAAACUUCUAUAGUGUCCUUUCCUUGUCUCAUAGUUGCUGCCUUUGAGCUUAGAUCAUAGAUCUGGAGUUCGUCUCUCCCACUGCUAAGGAGAGUUUCAAUUCCCUUCCAUAGUUCUCGGGCAGUCUUGUAAUCCAGAAAUUGGUUCACAAGAUCUCCAUCAAUGUUUUCAAUGAUCCAAGACAAGACGGUUGAGUCCUUUUGAGCCCACUGUUGGUACUCGGGGUCAUUUUGUGGAACGGGAUUGGCUGUGAUAUGGUUGAGCCUUCCUCGACCACCAAUAGCAAUAUGCAUUAAUUUGCACCAUUUGGUGUAAUUAGUGAAAUUCAGUUUCUCGGCAACACGUACCGUUUGUGGUAUUCCGGUUUCUGGGAGGUUUGAAGUUUUGUGUAGUUUCUGAAAUAAUUGGAACAUUUGUUCCAUUUGUUCCAUAGAGACUAAUUGUGUUUCGGGUGAUUGGGUUGUGUUUUCUGAUUGAUCAGACAUUGUGGGUAAGAAUAUAGUAGAUGAUGAGAACCAGAAAACAAUCCUGAAUCCCAAUCGAACUUUAGGGCUCUGAUGCCAUGUAGAAAAUAUGCAGAAUCAUGUUGUUGGUAUAGAAUAGCUUUUUCAUAUAUCAAUCUAUUGAAGGGAGGCUCCUAUUUAUACACAAACAAUCUAGAGAAAUCAGGAGCUAAUUACACAAAUUCAGCCUAAAGAAAUAUUCUGUUCCUUUAAUUAUGGAACAAAUAUGGCUAUUUCCUACAAUAUCUUCACCAUGGAUGCGCACAACAAAUCCUCCACUUUGAUAUUAAACCAAACAACAUUUUAUUGGACAAGAACUUCAAUCCCAAAAUCGCUGAUUUUGGAUUGGCAAAGUUGUGUAACAUAGGACAGAGCAUGGUGUCCAUGACUGCGGCUAGGGGGACUAUUGGCUACAUUGCACCCGAAGUGUUUUCAAGGAAUUUCGGUAAAGUUUCAUCCAAAUCAGAUGUUUACAGUUUUGGAAUGUUGUUACUUGAAAUGGUUGGAGGAAAAACCAACGAUAUGACCACAGAACAGAACGCGAGUGAUGUAUACUUUCCCGAAUGGAUUUUUCAUAGGCUUGAGAAAAAUGAAGAGUUGGUGAUCCAAAUUGUAAAUGAAGAUGACAGUAAGAUAGCAAGGAAGUUAACGAUUGUCGGACUUUGGUGCAUUGGAUGGCCUCCGAUAGACCGGCCAUCAAUGAAGGUUGUGAUUCAGAUGUUAGAGGCUGAUGAAUGUCCUGCCAUGCCACCAAAUCCUUUUAACACCCCCACUUCAGGAAAUGCCACACAUGCCAAAUCAUUGUUUGGUGAAAGGCUCCAAGUCAUUUCUGAAACAGAGUGACACCUUCAAUUGCCGUUUACUUUUUCCCACCAAAAGAAAAGCUAUAUUUAUUUUCAUAUGAACUUUUCAAGCAUCAAAAUUACAUUUGAAUCGUUUCUAGUGUUUUCGGUUGCUUACUCAUGUGAAAUGCUAUCAUCCUUGUUAAGAAGGUAAAUAUUAUUCACCGCAUCACAAUUAUUUUCAAUAAAUUUUGUAUCAUUCAAAUCAUGUUCGGAAUAAGACGGCUACUACAAUCAGGUUCGGAAUUGUUUCUUGAAAUGGUAGGAUGUUAAAGUUAUCAAUUCUCCUAAAAUUUUAAGAUAUUAAGAGGAGAGCUUAUCAGGAUCAUAUUGUAAGUCGAACUCAAAUCUCCCACAACCUUAGCUCUGAUAUCAUGAUAGGUAACCAAAUCUAUUAAAACCUCAUAGUCUAAAUAGUGUGAGGAGUGCUUAGUAGGAUCAUAUUGUAUUCUAACACAUGAGAAUAAACAAUAAUAUCGAAAGACCACCAGUGAAACAUACCUUCAAGAAUGGAUAUUGGUCAGCUUGAGAAAGGUGGAAAAUUAGUGAUCCAAAUCGGAAGUUCACGAUCGUCGGGCUUUGGUGCAUUGUAUAGUCGUAUCAUUCUCUUUCUUUUUCUUUGCAAACAAUUAUUCUAAAGGAAAAAAAAAAGUGGCUUUAUGUAAGAAAAAAUAAAGAAAAGGGGACUUGAACGAACGAGAACGAGUCUGUUUUUCAUUCGAUAAUGCAAGGCAGGCUCUACUCGGCUUAAGUUUUUUGUAAACUCAAAAAACCACAUUUUGGUUUCCCUCAGCAAAACAAAUGAACAACAACAUGAUUCUCCUCAGACUCUUGCUAUUUGCGAUCGAAUGAAAUAGACACAGAUGGAUCUGCCUUACAUUUAUACACAACUUGUUUGUUAAAUUGAUGAUAUAUUAAGCAUACACAACAUCAAGAAAUUGCUACCAAAUAAAACAGAUAGAUAGAAACUUUAGCUGCACAUUACAGCGAUGUGAUCAUAUUAAGUUACUAAUACAGAGACAAGCACUAGAAUCUUUCUGUUGUCCUUUCAGUAGCCCUUGACUAUUUCUUCGGCCGGUUCUGUCAACUCUGGAGUUGCUGCUUCUUCAUCCUCUACUUGCAUCUCUGCUUCUUGAUUCUCUUCUUGUGGACUUAAAAAUGGCUUAGGUGGUAUGACCAAUAGCUCGACGUCUCCUUCAAGCAUUUCAAUGACUUUGUUCAUUGAGGGACGAUCACCAGGCUUCAGUUGUAUACACCACAAUGCCACUAUUAUCAUCUUCUUUAACAACUUGGUCUCUUCUGCAGUAGCAUCUUCCAUUUCAAUCUCCUUCCCUUUUUUUAUUUGCUCAUAAAUCCAAG
rnacentral:lncRNA from 1 species